GGAAGAACGAGAGGCGCUUCCCUCCCUGCCCCUCCCAGGAGAAUCCCAGAACCGCUUCGUCUGGGCAGAGCAUGGCCGGGCUCCCUGGCCGCCGGGGCCCCCGCACUCACGCGCAGACCGGGUCCCUUGCAAUAUGGAUCCCGAUGAUGGGUUUGGCACAGCUGAGCCCUCACGGAGCCGGCGCAGGGCCCUCUGGAGACCCUCUUUGAUCUGCGCUGCAGACACUCGCGGGGCAUCUUCCGUGUGCCAGCCUUGAGGAGUACAGAACCAUAGGCUUAGAAGACCUGACCUCCUGCUCUCCCACCACACUGGGCCCAGGCUACCCAGGCCUCCAGAGCCCCUGCCCGCCAGCGGUGCUCCCAGAAGCCCCACACCAGGCCCUAUCCUCAGCAACCGUGAGAGGUGGGCCCAUUUCACCCUCUCUGUGUCCCUUUGGUGGGUGCCGUGUGACUGUCCCAUUCUGCAGGUGAGGAGAUGGGGGCCCAGGGGCCUUGCUCAGCAUCACACAUGGCGUGAGCCUUGGCAGCGAGGCUCCUUCUGUGCCACCGUCAUCCGCUGCCCUGCCCAGCUUCCU